rnacentral:rRNA from 1 species
ACUCCGGUUGAUCCUGCCGGACCCGACUGCUAUCAGAGUGGGACUAAGCCAUGCGAGUCAACGUAUGAAUAAUACGUGGCGAACGGCUCAGUAACACGUAGUCAACAUGCCCAGGGGACGUGGAUAAC